CGUUAGCUCAGUUGGUAGAGCAGCUGACUUUUAAUCAGCGGGUCGCAGGUUCGAGCCCCGCACG
rnacentral:tRNA from 1 species